rnacentral:rRNA from 1 species
CGGAAGGUCCAGGCGUUAUCCGGAUUUAUUGGGUUUAAAGGGUGCGUAGGCCGUUUGAUAAGCGUGCUGUGAAAUAUAGUGGCUCAACCUCUAUCGUGCAGCGCGAACUGUCGAACUUGAGUGCGUAGUAGGUAGGCGGAAUUCGUGGUGUAGCGGUGAAAUGCUUAGAUAUCACGAAGAACUCCGAUUGCGAAGGCAGCUUACCGUAACGUUACUGACGCUUAAGCACGAAGGUGCGGGUAUCGAACAGGAUU